rnacentral:rRNA from 1 species
CCUACGGGUGACAGCAGUGAGGAAUAUUGGUCAAUGGACGAGAGUCUGAACCAGCCAAGUAGAGUGAAGGAUGACUGCCCUAUGGGUUGUAAACUUCUUUUAUAUGGGAAUAAAAUGUUCCACGUGUGGCUUUUUGUAUGUACCUAAUGAUAAAGAACCGGCUAAGUCCGUGCCAGCAGCCGCGGUAAUACGGAGGAUCCGAGCGUUAUCCGGUUUUAUUGGGUUUAAAGGGAGCGUAGGUGGUUUGUUAAGUCAGUUGUGAAAGUUUGCGGCUCAACCGUAAAAUUGCAGUUGAAACUGGCAGUCUUGAGUACAGUAGAGGUAGGCGGAAUUCGUGGUGUAGCGGUGAAAUGCUUAGAUAUCACGAAGAACUCCGAUUGCGAAGGCAGCUCACUGGACUGCGACUGACACUGAGGCUCGAAAGUGUGGGUAUCAAACAGGAUUAGAUACCCGGGUAGUC